AGAGAGAGACAUGCGCGCAUAUCAAUAAGCGGAGGAAAAGAAACUAACAAGGAUUCCCUCAGUAACGGCGAGUGAAGCGGGAAGAGCUCAAAUUUGAAAUCUUCAAGGUUCUACCUUGACGAAUUGUAGUUUAAAGAAGUGUUUUCUGUUGGAGUUUUGGUAAAAGUUCUUUGGAAUAGGACAUCAUAGAGGGUGAGAAUCCCGUAUUUGACCAUUAUUUCCAGCUUUGUGAUACACUUUCAAAGAGUCGGAUUGUUUGGGAAUGCAGUCCAAAAUGGGUGGUAAAUUUCAUCUAAAGCUAAAUAUUGGCGAGAGACCGAUAGCGAACAAGUACCGUGAGGGAAAGAUGAAAAGAACUUUGAAAAGAGAGUUAAACAGUACGUGAAAUUGUCAAAAGGGAAGCGUUUGACACCAGUGUUGUCUUCUCGAAAAUCAAUUAAAAAAGGCUGGAUUUUGUGUUGUAUUGACCUUUAUCAAGCUUUCUUCACUCUUUUCUUGUCCUUUUUAAUGCACUUUUCGUUUAACAAGUCAGCAUCAGUUUCUUUUGUUGUAAAAGGGUCAUUGGAAGGUGGCUUUCUUUUCGGAGAAAGUGUUUAUAGCCUUUGGCCUCUGCAAUCGGAGAGAUUGAGGUCUGCAGCGUAGAUCCUUCGGGGUUAGAUACAUUUGUGCUAAGUUAUAGCCUUUCAUAGACAACUUGUUGACUAUGAUCAGUCAUGUAGCUUACUCGCUUAUGCUAUUUUACCUACGCUUAGGAUGUUGACAGCAGUAUAGACUGU
rnacentral:rRNA from 1 species